UACGAAGGGGGCUAGCGUUGUUCGGAAUUACUGGGCGUAAAGGGCUCGUAGGUGGCCAACUAAGUCAGACGUGAAAUCCCUCGGCUUAACCGGGGAACUGCGUCUGAUACUGGAUGGCUUGAGUUCGGGAGAGGGAUGCGGAAUUCCAGGUGUAGCGGUGAAAUGCGUAGAUAUCUGGAGGAACACCGGUGGCGAAGGCGGCAGCCUGGACCGACACUGACACUGAGGAGCGAAAGCCAGGGGAGCAAACGGG
rnacentral:rRNA from 1 species